ensembl:lincRNA
AAAUGGUCAAUUACAAAGCACAACAUAAGACUGGAACAUUGGAGUUAAGUAGCAGAGAUCAAAAUUUGUCAGUUUCAAAUACUCAUGUAUCUGAUUGUCAAUGCUGGAGAGCUGGGGCCAGGGCAGUAGUUGAUGGAUAUCACCUGACUGUCUCCUGCAGCAAAAGCAUUCCCAGAAGCACGGAGAAGUGAGGAGAAAAGGCAAUGCACCUGGAGCUGGAGACCAAGACCCCGUUCUUACUGAUGGCCCUUGGAGCAGAUAUUUGAAUUGGAGAGAUAAAACCGUGGUUUUUGGGGUGUUAAUUUUGGUGGCUGAUGCAUUCUGUGAUUGAUUUGGCUAUUACAACUGGUAUUGAUUUUAAACACAUUAAUUGCAAAAUCUCAAUUGUGAUUUGAUUUCUGUAUUUACAAUACUAAAAACGAGGCUUUCGCCAGGAGAAGACAAUUGGCAGUACUCAGUUGGAAGUGCUUAAUUGUUAAUAUGUAUCAGCCGUGGUUCUUCAGCGUCGUCAGUGUUGCUCAGUCUUGCUCUUUGUGGCGACUACUGAAUGCUUGAAAAAUUCUCUCCUAUACUCCCACUCUGCGCUGUAGAAGAGAAAGAGAGGAGAGUGGAAGAAAAAAGAGAGGGAGAGGAGAAAGAAAGAAAGGAGAGAGAAACAUGGGCAUGGAUGAUACAUAAGAUAAUUCCAGAAGAUUUCAGCAUAGCAGAUAAAAUACAGCAAAUCCUAACCAGCACAGGUUUGAGUGACAAACGGGCCGGUUCCAUGGGCACAGAUGACUUCAUCAGGGGCACAGAGUUGGUUGAUGAAUGGAGGGCUGGAGCUUGAGGCUGGAUGUGUACCCCAGAAGGGUCUCUAAGAUUCAAAACCUUUUCAUACCAAUGUCCCUAAUUCCUCCAUGUUAUUGGCAUUGGACUUGAUCUCUCUUCAUACAUAUUUUUGUAUACAUAAGGUGUGCAAGGGUGUGUGUGCAUGUGUGUGUGUGUGUGUGUGUGAGGGAUAGGGUCUCAGAGUGAAUGUAUUUGUUUUUUCUACUUUGACCUUGUACACAGUGACCUUUCUAAAUUUUUAUUUUAAUUGUUUUUCAAUUGUUUAUGUAGACAAUCAUGCUGUCUGAGUAGAGAUAUUCACAUCUUCCUUUAAAGCAUUUAUUCAUUUUAUUUACAUCUUCCUUUAAAACAUUUAUUCAUUUUAUUUAUUUCCCUUGCCUUAUUGUGCCAGCUAGAAUCUGCAGUAAAAUUUGGAAUUGCACGUGGUGAUAAUGGACACCCUUGUUUUAUCCUUGAGCUCAGGGAGAUAUGAUUCAAUACUUUACCAGGAGCAUAACGUCAGCUAUGGUUGUUUUGUAGCUAUUCAUCAUUAGCAUGAAAUGUUUCUUUGUAUUUCUUGCUUACUAAAAAUUUUUAUCAUGGAAAGAUAGGGAAUUUAGUAAAAUG